UGGCCUUGCUGCCACGAUCCACCGAGAUUCAGCCCUUUGUCGCUAAGAUUCGACCCUCCCCCAAAUCACUCCAAAAAAAAAAGCAAUCCCCAAUUCUACACAAGUGUUUCUACACUAACAAAGCAACAAACUCCCUUAACGAAUUCCCAACUUUACACGAGCUCGUCUCUCGAGGUUAAAUGUUAUUACUUGGUAAGAUUCCGGACCUCGCCAAGUGUUUUGAAAACCCGCAACGCUCGCAAAGGUGCAUAGUGAGAAGAAUAAGUGAAGAGACAGACUUGUCCAAAACGCUCACGAAGGUGCAUAGUGAGAAGAGUAAGUCAAGAGACAGACUUGUCCAAAAAGAAACAAAAGAGAAUGCUUGGGGUUACACUCACGAAGGUGCAUAGUGAGAAGAGUAAGUCAAGAAGCAGACUUGUUCAAAAAAGAACCAGAAGAGAAUGCUUGGGGAGAUAGAAGUGUGAGAUAGUUCUCAAGCUAAGAAAGUUGUAAAAGCUAAGAACUAGCAUCAAAUGAUGGAUGAAACACAAGGUAGUUGUUGAAAAGUCAAACACUUGGUGAUAUGAACACAAACGUUCAAUAUGACAAACCCAUGCCAAGUAAAGAGAAAAUGAAAACUGGUGAUUGUUGCGGAAAUCGUCAGGAUUCCUCGACCAGGACUUGAAAUCGUCGAGGGAAAAUAAUCGGUUCCGAGGAAUCGUCGAUCCGGACUUGGAAUCGUCGAGAAAAGUUUACUCCGGUCCGAGGAAUCGUCGAU
rnacentral:misc_RNA from 1 species